AUUGAACGCUGGCGGCAGGCCUAACACAUGCAAGUCGAACGAGUGGCGGACGGGUGAGUAAUGUCUGGGAAACUGCCUGAUGGACGGGGAUAACUACUGGAAACGGUAGCUACUACCGCAUACCAUCAGAUGUGCCCAGAUGGGAUUAGCUUGUUGGUGGGGUAACGGCUUACCAAGGCGACGAUCCCUAGCUGGUCUGAGAGGAUGACCAGCCACACUGGGACUGAGACACGGGCCAGACUCCUACGGGAGGCAGCAGUGGGGAAUAUUGGGCAAUGGACGCAAGGCUGAUGCAGCCAUGCCGCGUGUAUGAAGAAGGCCUUCGGGUUGUAAAGUACUUUCAGCGGGGAGGCGGUACCCGCAGAGGAAGCACAGGCUAACUCCGUGCCAGCAGCCGCGGUAAUUC
rnacentral:rRNA from 1 species